UUAUGAUUGAAUCUUCGGAUGAUUGACUAAGUGGAAAGCGGCGGACGGGUGAGUAACGCGUGGGUAACCUGCCCCAUACAAAGGGAUAGCCACUGGAAACGGUGAUUAAUACCAUAUGAGAUCGUAGAGUCGCAUGACUUAGCGGUUAAAGAUUUAUCGGUAUGGGAUGGACCCGCGUCUGAUUAGCUAGUUGGUAAGGUAACGGCUUACCAAGGCGACGAUCAGUAGCCGACCUGAGAGGGUGAUCGGCCACACUGGAACUGAGACACGGUCCAGACUCCUACGGGAGGCAGCAGUGGGGAAUAUUGCACAAUGGGCGCAAGCCUGAUGCAGCAACGCCGCGUGAGCGAUGAAGGCCUUCGGGUCGUAAAGCUCUGUCCUCAAGGAAGAAUAAAUGACGGUACUUGAGGAGGAAGCCCCCGGCUAACUACGUGCCAGCAGCCGCGGUAAUACGUAGGGGGCAAGCGUNAUCCGGAAUCACU
rnacentral:rRNA from 1 species